rnacentral:rRNA from 1 species
GACAGAGGGUGCAAACGUUGUUCGGAAUUACUGGGCGUAAAGCGCGUGUAGGCGGCAGCGUAAGUCGGGCGUGAAAUCCCACGGCUCAACCGUGGAAGUGCACUCGAAACUGCGCAGCUAGAGUCCUGGAGAGGAAGGUGGAAUGCUUGGUGUAGAGGUGAAAUUCGUAGAUAUCAAGCGGAACACCGGUGGCGAAGGCGGCCUUCUGGACAGUGACUGACGCUGAGACGCGAAAGCGUGGGGAGCUAACAGG